CUUGCGUAACGAUGUACACUUACCAGCCAGCUUCUCUGUCCUAAUUUUUGCAGACCAAUAUUUUACCUUAAUGGAAAGUAUGAUACGAAUACAAAACAGGCACAAUAAGAAGCGGAGUCAGAAGUCCACCCUGUACCUGCUGCACGGUGAACCCGUGGAUCUGUUCACCUAUCCUGUACUGUAGGGCUCUUUCAUGAACAGAACUGCUCUUCCACCUCCAAGACUUGUGAUUGAGGGAUCGGAAACUGAAAUGACAUUUUCCUUAAUUAAAAAAAAAAUCACUACAGCAAAGGCAGGAUUAUUUCCUCUCCCUCCCCCUCUUGCUUGUGUUUUUUCAGGAGCAGAAAGUCCAGAGGAGAUGUAAUACAGCACCCUGGAGACAAAUGCCCACUUAACCUCCACCCCUGCCUAGAAAAGAGGAGACGAGGAGGGGAGCUGACUCCACGCCCCGCUCAGGAGGAGCCCGAGCCCACACAGCUCCCGGCAGCACCGAGGGGAAGAGCCCAAGUGACCAGCCCGGGCAGCAGGGGACACCGCACCUCACCGACUAACUCGGAGGGAUGUGUGGGAGGAACGCCAUCUGCAUAUAGAAGUUUGGGCCAGCUGAAGAGGCCAUGGAAGAGCAAUAUUACUUUCUGUAUCUACUUCUCCAGAAAAAGUCCAGACCACUUUUAAAAUAACUAGGAGCUUUUAGUUGUAAACCACCUCCAGCUUUGCCAAAUCCUGGAGGACUAGUUGCUAGAAAGCCACAUUUUCAUUUGUCUUUGGCCUUCCUAUUGUGGGCACUGUGGUAUUCGAAGUGAGCAAACAGAAGUAUUCUAAUAUGCUUAAACAGUGAUUAGAGCAAGCAUAUCGUGUUUUCAUAUAUUACCUAUUCAGGGAUUUGAAGGCUAGUUUUCCAAUGUGAAGAAGUAGAUGUCUGAAAACAAUAUACAACAUAUGAAAACUUAUAUGAACAAAAAUAGUCUAUUUAUACAAUUUUUUUAAGCAGUGAAUAUUUUGGAUAUGCAUUUUAUAGUUUUAAUGGCUCAUACCAGCUACUUAAGAUAUACCAUAAAGCUGAAUGCAGCUUGACUUACACUUUGUUAUUUUAAGACAAAUGUGAAGCAGAAACCAUCUGUUUUCUUGUACUGUUAAUGUCUCUAUGUUGCUGUAGUUGGCCAACUCAUAUAAUCAUCACUCUGACCUAGAAUGUAAUUGUAAGACUUGUUAAAUAUUUAAAUUUUGUGUCACUAUUUUGUUUCAACAAAGUUGAAACUUAAAAAUACAGGUUGUCAUUCUUGAAGAUUCAAAGUCAAAACACAUUACUGAUGCUGAAUGCUAUAUGCAUUUUCAUUUGCUAGAUAGCUUGUUUUUCAUUAAAAUUUAGAUAGCAAGGGCCAAAAUGUUCUGCACCAAUUACAUAAUGUCAUUGAAAUAAAAGGCACGGCAUGAAGUAAAACUGCA
rnacentral:lncRNA from 1 species